AUACGGAGGGUGCAAGCGUUGUCCGGAUUUAUUGGGUUUAAAGGGUGCGUAGGUGGUUUAUUAAGUCAGUGGUGAAAUCCUGCAGCUUAACUGUGGAACUGCCAUUGAUACUGGUAAACUUGAGUACUGUUGAGGCAGGCGGAAUUUAUGGUGUAGCGGUGAAAUGCAUAGAUACCAUAAAGAACACCGAUAGCGAAGGCAGCUUGCUUAGCAGUUACUGACACUGAUGCACGAAAGCGUGGGUAGCGAACAGGAUUAGAUACCCUAGUAGUCC
rnacentral:rRNA from 1 species